rnacentral:rRNA from 1 species
UACGUAGGCAGCAAGCGUUGUUCGGAGUUACUGGGCGUAAAGGGUGUGUAGGCGGUUCUUUUAAGUUUGGUGUGAAAUCUCCCGGCUCAACUGGGAGGGUGCGCCGAAUACUGAAGGACUAGAGUGCGGGAGAGGAGAGUGGAAUUCCUGGUGUAGCGGUGAAAUGCGUAGAUAUCAGGAGGAACACCGGUGGUGUAGACGGCUCUCUGGACCGUAACUGACGCUGAGACACGAAAGCGUGGGUAGCAAACAGG